CGGCGCUCGGCAAACGGUUUUCUCCGUGAUCUGAGAGCACAUCCAUCUGAGAUCAUUGUGAAAGCCACUUGCCGUGUCGCA
rnacentral:pre_miRNA from 1 species